AGAAGAUUAUUCGGUAACACUUUACUUGGAUGGUCCAUUUGAUGGCCUCUUUGAUGCUCAACUGACAUUCAACUAACAUUCAACUACAUGUCUAUUAAAUGCAAAUGAACUAAAAGGUGAAAGUAAAUGAUUCUCUAUUGAAUAUAACCCUACAUUCAACUCCAACCCAAAAGCUUAUCUUAAUAUUUUAGGAUUGGUUUAGGGUUAGAUUUUAAGAUUAGAUUAAGGUUAGGGUUAGGGUUAGGUGUAGAGUUAGAUUUUACAGUUGAUUUAGGGUUAGGGUUAGGUGUAGAGUUAGAUUUUAGGGUUGAUUAAGUGUUAAGGUUAGGGUUAGGUGUAGGGUUAGAUUAUAUGGUUGAUUAAGGGUUAAGGUUAGGGUAAGGUGUAGGGUUAGAUUUUAGGGUUGAUUAAGGUUAAGGUUAGGGUUAGGUGUAGGGUUCAAUUUUAUGGUUGAUUAAGGGUUAAGGUUAGGGUUAGGUGUAGGGUUAGAUUUUAGGGUUGAUUAAGGGUUAAGGUUAGGGUUAGGUGUAGGGUUAGAUUUUAGGGUUGAUUAAGGGUUAAGGUUAGGGUUAGGUGUAGGGUUAGAUUAUAUGGUUGAUUAAGGGUUAAGGUUAGGGUUAGGUGUAGGGUUAGAUUUUAGGGUUGAUUAAGGUUAAGGUUAGGGUUAGGUGUAGGGUUAGAUUAUAUGGUUGAUUAAGGGUUAAGGUUAGGGUUAGGUGUAGGGUUAGAUUAUAUGGUUGAUUAAGGGUUAAGGUUAGGUGUAGGGUUAGAUUAUAUGGUUGAUUAAGGGUUAAGGUUAGGGUUAGGUGUAGGGUUAGAUUUUAGGGUUGAUUAAGGUUAAGGUUAGGGUUAGGUGUAGGGUUAGAUUUUAGGGUUGAUUAAGGGUUAAGGUUAGGG